rnacentral:lncRNA from 1 species
GGUGAUUGUGUGAUGAAGUUGCCAUCCAAAUAAUUUUAUUGUUGCAUCUCGAGGAUCAUAUAUUUGUCUUUUUAAUAUCGUUAAUCAGCAACUCCGUCAAAUAGUUUCAAUAAGAACAUACAAAGCUCCCUUCAUCCUCUCCAUAUCAUGGCCAACAAUCUUGUCAUUGUUUUAUAGCAGAUAGCAUGAGGAAUCGGUGCAAAAUAUAAUUAUUUUCACCCCAUAAAAUAGUCCUCUU